rnacentral:snoRNA from 1 species
CUCCUCCAGAUUCCAUACCUGUCAGAUCUAAACAUUGGUCUGAGUGGUCAUAAGAGGAGACAAGUAAAAUUGAAAUUGACUUAAAUUAUCUGUGACACACAAGCUAGUUUCAAAUAAAU